rnacentral:rRNA from 1 species
CUAGUGGCGAACGGCUGAGUAACACGUAAGUAACUUGCCCUAGAGUGGGGGAUAACACAGGGAAACCUGUGCUAAUACCGCAUACGUUCCACCUCUGAGAUGUGGUGGAGGAAAGGGGUCGGGUAACCGGCUUCCGCUCUUGGAGAGGCUUGCGUCCUAUCAGGUAGUUGGCGGGGUAAAGGCCCACCAAGCCGAAGACGGGUAGCUGGUGUGAGAGCACGACCAGCCAGAGGGGGACUGAGACACGGCCCCCACUCCUACGGGAGGCAGCAGCAGGGAAUCUUCCACAAUGGGCGAAAGCCUGAUGGAGCGACGCCGCGUGAGGGAUGAAGGCUCUAGGGUCGUAAACCUCUUUUCUCAGGGAAGACUAAGGACGGUACCUGAGGAAUAAGCCACGGCUAACUACGUGCCAGCAGCCGCGGUAAUACGUAGGUGGCAAGCGUUGUCCGGAAUUACUGGGCGUAAAGGGUCCGUAGGCGGUUCGGUAAGUCUCUUGUGAAAACCCCA